AGUCUCUGCUCUUUCUGUGGGUCUGGCUUGACAUGAGGGUUUUAGGCAGAGAGAUGCUUUUAGAAUUCUCUUCCUAAAUAUACACGCAAAGAAAUGGGUUAAUAACAAUGGCAACAGAAAAGGAGCGAAGGGGUUACUCAGCAUGCGUGACAGCAAAUAAAACGCACAGAAGUCGUUUUCAUAAGCCAGUGGAAGAGGAAGGAACGCCAUUGAGCAGCCACUGGUUGGAACACAAACAAGAUAAGAAUGUGGCGACGGUGACUAAUUUACAAGGAAAGAAGGUAGUUUCAUUUCUGUCCAGCAGGGAGGAAGCUGCAGGUAGGAGAGGCAACCUUUUCAAAUCUCGUGGAGGUUUGUUAGUUAUGUGACAUUCUGGAAGAACUUGCAGGCCUCAGGUACCCUGAGCAGAUACUUGGCUCGAAUAGUUGAAGAACAAGCAUCAUUUGCAUAUUGUUUGGAUCUGGAAGGAGCAGCUUCUGGAAGUUGCACUGAGAAAUCAGAAGCCGGAGGUAUGUCUAAUACACUCA
rnacentral:lncRNA from 1 species